GAAAGAGAGUUUAGUUUGACACGAUAAGGCGUACUAGUAGUACACGACAAACAUAUUUUUUGUGAUGGGCAACCGAAGAGACGCUCUCAAGCAUAGCAAGGCCGUCAGUAGUAGUACUGAAAGUAAUAGCCCAACCAAGUCCAAAGAGGAAAAGAAACCGACCGACGGUGAGGCAGACAAGACCGAAGGCGAAGGCGGGUUAACUGCAUGGCUGUCAAGCAGUGAAGGAGUUGGCUGGAUGCAGUUUUUCGUCGUGACCAACGCCAUCAUCUUACUCUUGACCACUGGCCUACCUCGGAUUUGGGAGACACUUGAUUUUAUGACCUCCAGCUCAUCUUCCGACUAAGAAAAACGUUUCUCGUAAAAAUACCAACCAUGACUGGGUGCCAACUAGAAUCAAAACAGUACACACUACUUGAAAUUACAGAUUCAAUAACGAAGAAGAAAAAAUAAAAUAAGGAUGGCUGAAUCGGGUCUGUGGAUAAAAUGCACGGUGGUCGUGGUCAUCUUGGGUUACAUUUCUAUUCAAUUCAUGCGCUACAUGGACGAUUGGUACCGGCAAGAGUUUCGCCGUUACUUGGAAACCGAACAGAAACGGAAUCCUCAUCUUUUCGAGCCUUGAUGAGGAUGACAACCUAUUUUUCUUCUUCUUCCCCCCAUUCUUUCUGUAACAAACUCAAUAACAAUAUUUUCAUUUUGAUGUGGUAAAAACAAAAAAAAAAUUGUUUUAUGUGUACCGUCUAUGGUAGAACAGAGCGUGACGUCUUGUGGUUGAGUCAUUGUAUUUGUUUCGGUACUUAAAAAAUUGUUAACGACCGUGUAACCAUCGAUGCGACCUAUUAUCUACACCUUUGACGCUCGGCAGACUCUUUUGACUGAAUAAACACAUUUAGUGACGGCCGACCUUGAA